rnacentral:rRNA from 1 species
GUAGCCGGCCUGAGAGGGNGACCGGCCACAYUGGGACUGAGANACGGCCCAGACUCCUACGGGAGGCAGCAGUGGGGAAUAUUGCRCAAUGGGCGAAAGCCUGAYGCAGCGACGCCGCGUGAGGGAUGAMGGCCUUCGGGUUGUAAACCUCUUUCAGCAGGGACGAAGCGNAAGUGACKGUACCUGCAGAAGAAGCACCGGCNAACUACGUGCCAGCAGCCGCGGUAAUACGUAGGGUGCNAGCGUUGUCCGGAAUUAYUGGGCGUAAAGAGCUCGUAGGCGGUUUGUCGCGUCGNAUGUGAAANCUUGGGGCUCAACCCCNAGCCUGCAUUCGAUACGGGCAAACUAUAGUUCGGUAGGGGA